rnacentral:lncRNA from 1 species
CCGACAGACUGCGUGCUCCAAGAGCUGACGCAACCGGAGAAUUUGGCUUCUUUUUUAUCACAUAUAUCAUUUUGCCAUAUAUGGUCACCGAGAGCUACUGGCAGCGAGACUCCUCCUCUGAUGGUAGGCUCCCAGAGUGAAAUGAACUACAUACCAGCCCAGAGCAAACAGACCAUCGCUCACCCGGCCGGACAGCCCAAAGCAGUGAGGAGUCUCCAAGGUUACCCAGGCUCCAAAAGUACAACUGCAAAGAGCUGCUACCCAGCAAGGGCUGAUGCUGCAGGCCCAGA